rnacentral:lncRNA from 1 species
UAUAUAUUCCUAGACGAGGUGUUAGGAUGCAACAUAGAUUUAUUUUACAGCUUAUCAUCUGUUUCACUCAAGUGUGGUCGGUACACACUUUGUUUGUUGUGUAGUUUUUAAUUUUGAUAUUUGUGCACAAAUGAGGAUAAAAUCAUUUAAAUAUGAAACUUUAUCUAUUUUUAAAGUUCGUUAUAUACUCCUCGUCAAAAAAAUAACCCAGACGAAAAAGAUUCAACUUGGAUGGUCCUGAUGGGUUCCAAUAUUAUUUUUAUGACACAAGAAAAGAGACAAUGUCAGCAAUUCGACGAUAAAUGGGAGGAGGCAGCGUGAUGGUUUGGGCCGGCAGCGAUUAUUUUGGCAAGACAAGUAUCAAGUUCAUUGAUGGGAGAAUGAAUAGUGUCUGAUACUUAAAUUUAAUCAAAGAACAAAUAAACAAUCAUGCAGAACGUAUUUCUGGACCUGAUUACAUCUUUCAACAAGAUAAUGCACUUGUAAACACAUCAAGAUGGGUCCAAUUAUAUUUUAAUGAAAAUAAUAUAUUUAUUUUGCCGUAGCCUGCACGCUCCACGGAUCUUAAUAUUAUUGAAAAUUGCUGGGCAGAAUUUGUUCAUGGCAUAUACGCGAAUGGAAAGCAAUAUCAACAUGUACAAGAAUUAAAAAAUGCAAUUGUACGUGAAUGGGAUACGUUGAAUCAAAAUUAUAUCCAGAAACUAUAUAAAUCGAUACCAAAUCGUAUAAUAGAAUAGAAAAUAAAGGGGGAUGUAUCCAUUAUUAAAUAAACGAAAAACUUUACACGUGUCAUUGUGAAAUUAAAGAUAGCACACCUGGAUUAUUUUUCUGACGAGGAGUGUAAUAUGAUUAUUAGCUAUGAAUAAAUAGUUAAAUCAUAAAGAUUAAAUCAAGAAAUUCAGUAAUACCUUUUUUUUUUAUGUUAGGUUGGAGGCUAGGUGCUAUAAAGUCAAUAAAUAUGUACUGCUCUAAUUUUUACUUUUAUGAAAUUAAAUUUUGUGAUAAAGAAGAAUUAAAUAUAAUUAAAGAUAGUUAAAGAUUUUAACUAAAUAAUCUCUCAAUUGUAUAUAUAUCUGUACAUUUAUAUUAUAAAA